rnacentral:rRNA from 1 species
GUAGCUUGCUACACCAUAGACUGUGAGUUGCGAACGGGUGAGUAACGCGUAGGUAACCUGCCUGGUAGCGGGGGAUAACUAUUGGAAACGAUAGCUAAUACCGCAUAAUAUUAAUUAUUGCAUGAUAAUUUGAUUGAAAGAUGCAACUGCAUCACUACCAGAUGGACCUGCGUUGUAUUAGCUAGUAGGUGAGGUAACGGCUCACCUAGGCGACGAUACAUAGCCGACCUGAGAGGGUGAUCGGCCACACUGGGACUGAGACACGGCCCAGACUCCUACGGGAGGCAGCAGUAGGGAAUCUUCGGCAAUGGACGAAAGUCUGACCGAGCAACGCCGCGUGAGUGAAGAAGGUUUUCGGAUCGUAAAGCUCUGUUGUAAGAGAAGAACGGGUGUGAGAGUGGAAAGUUCACACUGUGACGGUAUCUUACCAGAAAGGGACGGCUAACUACGUGCCAGCAGCCGCGGUAAUACGUAGGUCCCGAGCGUUGUCCGGAUUUAUUGGGCGUAAAGCGAGCGCAGGCGGUUAGAUAAGUCUGAAGUUAAAGGCUGUGGCUUAACCAUAGUACGCUUUGGAAACUGUUUAACUUGAGUGCAGAAGGGGAGAGUGGAAUUCCAUGUGUAGCGGUGAAAUGCGUAGAUAUAUGGAGGAACACCGGUGGCGAAAGCGGCUCUCUGGUCUGUAACUGACGCUGAGGCUCGAAAGCGUGGGGAGCGAACAGG